UUUCAAAUUUGAGAUUUCUUUUCAACUGUUGCAGUCAGCUGUUUUAUUUUUCCGAUUUGUAAAAUCAGUUUUUUUCAGAACUAUAGUUCCUUCUGGAGAGUUUAAGUGUGCAUCGUUGAGUCUUUUAUUAUUGUGUGAUAAUGUCCGGACAAAGAGUACGUACAUGUUGCAUCCCAAAUUGCGAAGACACGACGUCUCGUAGACAUCGCUUUCCAAGCAAUAAGGAUUGUUAGAUAUUUGGAUUGCAAGAAUAAACAACCCAAAACAUGCUUCACUGACUUCUAGACAAACAGCAGUUAGCCAGUUUAUAUGCGAGUCACAUUUUGCAGAAAUCAAUUGUGAUAACCCAAACUUCCCGCCUUAAAAUUUGACCUUGAAACAGUUUGAAAGGCCCGCGAAAAAUUCAAAAAUUCAAAAGUUUGGCCUUGGCUGUGAUCGUCUAACAAAUGAGAACCUACGUUGUGUGUUUUUUUUUUUUUUGUUUUUGAAAAAUGGCGGGAAGAAGUUCUUUCAUACAAGUGCAUACACUGUCGAGAGCGCAAGAAAUAAUAGACAAAAUUAGGAGCCUUCCUAAGGAGGAAAAAGAAACGAAGAACGACAGACGCUCGGUUUGCCCUUCUGGCGAGUCCGCAGGGCCAAGGUGUCAUCGGUCUUCAUUCCCCAAAACCCCCUGGGGUUUUAUUCACCGACAUAUUACAUGUCAAACACCCUAAGAUAUGUGAAAGAAAAACACUCGCGAAUUGACAGACAUACACAUAUGAAAACCGAACGAACACAAGACCUACACAUAUGUAAAUUGGAUGGCAGAACCCGAAUCAUUAUGAGAGUGUGGCGAUCGAACAAAAUAUAGAGCAAAAUAUAGCAAUUUCAUUUACGAGCACAGCAAAAUACCCAGAGGGGGCGUUGUAGCGCAAGUGGAGGUUGGGACUCCUGAUCGUCACUGUUCUCCCCCACGACGGUGAUUCUAUCUACACCAACGCCUGCUCACACGCAUCUCUCCAUUACGAACGUGCCCUGCGAAACGAGGCGGUUACGAUCGCAGAUCCGUAGUGGGGUCUCGACUAUUGGGCCAAGUCGACAGCGUUAAAGACCCGCGAUCGCCCCCUGAAGCUAUACAAACCCGCGGAUUUGUGCAGGUGCCGCGAUUGAUCCCGUCAGUUUGAGAAGGAGUCGCGCGCCCCACGUACACUACGAGUUAUGUGUUAUUUACUUCAAUUUCAUUUAAAUGUUCAAUCUCUAUGACUCUAAUAUUAAAUUACAACCGAACAAGUGUUAAAGUUUUAACGAAGAGCAAUACACAACAUUUAAAUUCGCCACACACUCUUACGAAAUUUCAACAACAAAUAAUUCUUAAUUGAGAUUAAAUUUGGACAUCAGAUAAUUUGCAGGACAAAGACAUUCAUCAACAAAAUAUUUACAUGAGCAAAACUUAGCAAAGAUUUAUAAAAUAAAGAUCUGGUGUGAAAUAAGCUUGUGCAAACAAAAUAUCAUGUUAGGUCAAAACUGUAGAACAUGGAAAUUUACGCUCAAUUAAAAUUAUACAGCAAAGAAAAUUACUGAAGCUAAAAUUGUGAGACAAAGACAAAUUGCAUGAGAUGAAGAUUGUAAAGUUAACAGAUUUACAUGUGAUUAAUAUUAAUUCGUGUCCAGUCAAGUUAUUGGUUAAAAUUCAAACGUGAAAUUAUUUAGCUGCAUUGUGGGCCAUUAUUACACAUACAUUUCCCCAAACAAAACACAUAAACAAACAUGGCAGACAAACUGCAGUUGCAAAAUGGCGUUGGACGAAUUCGUCAUUCCAAAUAAUAGGCGUCGAAAAUAUGCGAUGCAAAAAUACGAUGAAUCCUGUGGCGUUGUAUAAACGAUGGGCUAAAUAAAAGGAAUAGAAGGCACGUCCCCCCAUGACCCACAAUGUUGUUAAUUCGUUCAAUAGAUUCAGUUAAAACAUGUGCUCGAUUAAAAGAAACAAAUGGACGCUUCAAAAUGGCCGCUGCCUGAACAAAGAACGGUGAAAAUAACAAUUCGUUUGCCGCCAUCCAAAAUACAGAUUUCACAAAUAUAGCUAAAUAAAGCAUGGCCCGAACUAAAAAUCACUUCCUGUAAAGCCCUACUGCGAUGGAUUUUAAAUGAAAGAUCAAAAAAAAAACGAGAUUAGUGGAAAAAAGCGCACGCGUCGAAGUGUCACGAGGUCAGAAGCAUCGUCGGGGCUUGAAUCUCGCGGCGAAACAGGUGUUCAAAACAUACCUCUCCAAAGAUGCGAAGAUUUCGACACGGCUUACCGCCAACAGGAACACAAAAACCUCGUCGUAAGAACGGUGAGAAAUCAGGAACACCCAAUGGCUCAACGGUGGCUGCUAGGUUUUCCAAUGGAACAGAUCAACACUGGAAAAACAAAACACAACAGCAAAAGGCACAGAAUAAUUCACAAUUAAAAAUACAACCUGUUGCUCGAAGCGCUCGAAAGAAAAUCGACCGUUCUCUCCAAGCGGUCAAAGCGAAGUGGGUGAUCUUACACGAGACAAAAACACCCUAACAUUUGCGCAUGUCUGUUUCUUUGGGGUUGGUUGCCAACCUUCUUUUCUUCUUCUCACCAACUGUUUCUUGCGCGCGCGAAAUUCAUUUGAAAUUUAAAAAUUCGAAUUGGAUCCUUACACAAUAUAAACAGACAAUCAACAAAAAGAAUUUUAAAUGGAUCUAUUCCGACAUUGAAUAUUCCAGGAUUUCAUGAGGAUCCAACGAGUGAAAACUGUUUUUAUUUUCCUGCAAAAUCAACAGAAGUGACUAAUGUUAAUGUUUGCUUGUUUUGUGCAGCAGUUCCAAGCCCUAUAUCUGCAGAAACGGAAAUGUUAGCUGUACCAGGAACAUCAAAAGAUAUAAGCCCUGAAGUGAAAUUAUUAAGGACGACUCCCUCAAAAAAAAAAGUUUAUGGGAAAACUGCAAGAAGGUAGUUAAUAGCAACAUCGGUAUCUCAUUUAGCAGGUAAUUUUAUGCUUCUGAAAAUAUUUAUCGUAAAAUUACGAGUAACCACUUUGAAAUUACUUGUGUAUUUAACUAAAUACUUAUAUGUAUAUGAUUGUUAAAUGGGAGCCUAUCUAAAAUUUCUCAAAAGCUAGAAAAAAUAGUUGUAAUUAGACUUAAUGAAAACAUACCCUGUUUUUGUUUGUAUUGCUCCAAUUAAGUUUUUACAAAUUUUGUAUACAUUAUUUUUUUAUAUAAUAAUA